GACGAACGCUGGCGGCGUGCUUAACACAUGCAAGUCGAACGGAAAGGCCUGCUUUCCCUUGUGGAUUGCGGGUACUCGAGUGGCUAACGGGUGAGUAACACGUGAGUGAUCUGCCCCCAACUUGGGUAUAAGCCUGGGAAACUGGGUCUAAUUCCCGAUAGGACUGCAGGGUGGUGCCUGUGGUGGAAAACGAUUUUCUAGUGGUUGGGGAUGAGCUCGCGGCCUAUCAGCGUGUUGGUGGGGUAAUGGCCUACCAAGGCGGCGACGGGUAGCCGGCCUGAGAGCGCGGACGGCCACAUUGGGACUGAGACCCGGGCCAGAGUCCUGCGGCAGGCAGCAGUGGGGAAUAGGGAACAAUGUGCGGAAGCCGGAAGCAGCGACGCCGGGGGGGGGAUGACGGCCUUCGGGUCGUAAUCUCCUUGCGACGGCGAGGAAGCCGCCUGGUUGGAAGGGUGGUGACGGUAGUGGGAGAAGAAGCACCGGCUAACUACGUG
rnacentral:rRNA from 1 species